rnacentral:rRNA from 1 species
UACGGAGGGUGCAAGCGUUAUCCGGAAUCAUUGGGUUUAAAGGGUCCGCAGGCGGGUAGAUAAGUCAGUGGUGAAAUCUCACAGCUCAACUGUGAAACUGCCAUUGAUACUGUCUUUCUUGAAUUCGAUCGAAGUGGGCGGAAUGUGACAUGUAGCGGUGAAAUGCUUAGAUAUGUCACAGAACACCGAUAGCGAAGGCAGCUCACUAGGUCUGGAUCGACGCUCAGGGACGAAAGCGUGGGGAGCAAACAGG